GACGAACGCUGGCGGCGUGCUUAACACAUGCAAGUCGAACGGUGAAGCGCUUUCCUUUUUGGUUGGUGUGGAUGCGUGGCGAACGGGUGAGUAACACGUGAGUAACCUGCCCCCUUCUUCUGGAUAACCGCAUGAAAGUGUGGCUAAUACGGGAUAUUCUGCGCCUGCUGCAUGGUGGGUGUGGGACAGCUUGUGCCUUUGGGUGUUUUCGGUGGGGGAUUGGCUCGCGGCUUAUGAGCUUGUUGGUGGUGUGAUGGCCUACCAGGGCGGUGACUGGUAGCCGGUCGGCGGGGGUGGGGGUUCAGAGUGGGACUGGGACAAGGCCGAGAGUCCUACGGGAGGCAGCCGUGGGGGAGAUUGCAGAGUGGGCGAAAGCCCGAUGCAGGGAAGCCGGGUGAGGGAUGGCGGCGUGCGGGUUGUGGGCCUCUUGGGCCAGAGAAGCAGGCCCGUGCCAUGUGGGGGGGUUGACGGUAGCUGGUAAAGAAGCGCCGGCUAACUACGUG
rnacentral:rRNA from 1 species